UCUUUCUCAUCUUCUACUUCUUGAGUGUAAAGUAUAGAACUCAAUCUUGGGUUUCUAAAUCAUUUCAUGGUAUCAGAGCAUUAGGAUAUUUGAUUUAACAGUUCCGAGCCAUUUCUGGGAAAAAUACUUCUGUCUGAAUUCCGCUAAAUGACAGUUCAUAAUUUGUGUCUAUUCGAUUCAAGAACAGUCAGGAUUGCAAAGAAUUACUUAUGGCUAUCAAUGGAAGUACGUCUGAUUCUACUAAUGUCAAUGGAGUCACUGACACAAUACCAACAAAUGCAACUAAUUCAAUUGUUGCCCAAACUGAGAACAACACAAAUGCUCAACCAGUUCCACGAACAACUCAAACAAUUGGGCCAAAUCAUCCUCUCUUCUUGGGUUCCUCUGAUAUGUGUUGCAGGUCUUGGCUGAAGUUUCGCCGUGUGGAUUUAUCAAACAUUUUCCUCCAGUUUCACCUAUCUCACUCCUGGUGAAGGCUAUGUCAUUUAUUUUGUCUUUUUGUAUUUUAGGAGCUCUUGUACCUGUCUAGAGUAGCUCCCGGGAAUUUCCUUUGAAUUUAUUGUAUUUUGAAACAAGUCUGUACGAAGUUUUUAAUUUAUAUUUUGAAUUUUUCAAGGA